rnacentral:rRNA from 1 species
UACGUAGGGAGCAAGCGUUGUCCGGAAUCAUUGGGCGUAAAGCGCGCGUAGGUGGCUUCGUAAGUCCGUUGUGAAAGUCAAAGGCUCAACCUUUGAAAGCCGAUGGAUACUGUGAAGCUAGAGUACGGAAGAGGCGAGUGGAAUUCCUGGUGUAGCGGUGAAAUGCGCAGAUAUCAGGAGGAACACCAAUUGCGAAGGCAGCUCGCUGGGACGUCACUGACGCUGAGACGCGAAAGCGUGGGGAGCAAACAGG